CAUUAUCCUUUGUUUUCCUUUUGUUAUUGAUGUAUUUGAAGAAGCCAUUCUUGGUGUCCUUGACAUCCUUGACCAGAUUUAAUUCCAGAUGGGUCUCGGCCUUCCAGUGCCAUUUUUUUUUUGCAAGACCACUAUCAGUAUUUAAAAAAAAGCUAAUUAAAAGCAAGAGCCUAGACUAAAACUAAUCCAAACCUGCAUAUUUUCUGGGUUUUCCCAUUUCUGUCAACAGCAAAAAAUUUGCAGCUUAGAAUAACUCCCAGGAGAGGAAAUAUUAUUUAUAGCUCAGCCUUUUUUUCUUCAUAAAGAACUGUGUGGUAAGCAUAUAUUUAGAAAUUAAUUGAAAAAUAAUAAUAACAAAAAAUUAUGAGAACUUUUCACCUCUGUGAGUACCUUUUUCUUUUCCCUUAGCAGUCCUGAAUAUGGAACAGGGAAACAGGUGUCAUAAAUCCACAAAAUAAUUAUUCCCCAUUUGCUAUAUUACAUUUUAUUUAUAUUCCCUGGCUGUUAUUUUAUGUUAAAUCUGCAAGUUCUCUUGUUAGAUUUUAGUUUUCACCCCAGCAAAUGAGGACAUAGCACAUAACCACUGUUGCUGCAGAGAUUUCUUUUCCAAAGCUUAAUUACUCUCUGGUUAUGUUCAUAAGAGUUUUAAAUAUUUGUGAGAGUUUUUUGUAACUGUGAAUUUUUGUGACAGACUUCCAUUUUGAUUGGAAAUAACUGAUCUAUCAGGAACCAAAUCUUCAGAUGUUUUUCCAUUAAAGAUUAAAUUUGUUUUCGUGUAAAACCUAGUAAGGCUUUGGCUUUUAAGGUUCAGGUAACCUGCCCCUCUCUGUUAUGUCCUUGAGCAAAAAGAACUUCAGACUUCCAUGAUGUUUGCCUCAGACUGGGGAGUUGGAAAUAAAUGAAAUUUUGAUCUUGACAGAAGCUUUUGCUUUCAGUAGUGAAGACAUGUUUUCACCAGUGUCCUGUGUAUCCACUGGACAUAAAGGGGGAGAUGUUCACUGCCAUAAGGAGCAUGUAGUCAAGAGGUGAUGGAGGAGAUCGGAGAGAAUAAAAGGAGCUAGAGCAGAUGUACAGAUCUGUAGGCAGCCUCAUCAAGUGUGUCUCAAGAUAUAAUUCAGCAGAAUAGAGCAGAGCCUUGCAGACAAGCUCAGAGCAGCCCAGCCAUGGAUUUCUCUUUUCUCUCCUCCGUUUUAGAUGUCAGAAUGUCAGAUUCCCUUGGUUAUGUUUUAACACCAUCAGACCUGGUACUGAUUCCUUCCAACAAGCUCCCUCAGCCAGGGUGAGAGGCUGCAGACUGUAAUGGCAUGCUGGCUGUCCAGCCAUGCUGAGCAAAGGAGUAGAGGCACCCAAGUUAUUGCUCAUCUACACAGGUAUUUGCAAUCAUCUUAAGUGUGGGCCUGAAAAUAAUAUUGCUGUGUUAGCCUGCCUCCAAGCCUCUGCCAAAGAAGAUUACCUCGGGUCAUGCUAUACUGUUUCCAUUUCUGAACUAACAUUUUUCCCAUUUGCUUGAGGUCUCUGAGCCCUGCUUUACUGAAGUAGGAGUAAAAUUCCCUUCAAUUCAAAGAGAACCACUUUGCAGAACAGCAGUGCAGAGGAAAGCAAGUUUACAUAGCCUCCAGGACAGCUGACUGUGGAGAAUGAAUAAUCUGAGUUUUAACUGGGAGGAACUGCUGUUCUUUGUCCCAUCAUGAGCGGAGUCAGCAUCUGUAAGACCUUUUCUCCAGUAAACCCUGGCUUUCAGUCUCAGAAUUCUUUCUUCAUAGUCAAAAUUGCUUUGUUUCUAGUUUUUUGCAAUUAUCUUCAUAUAUAGAUUGAAGCAGAUGGGUAAAAUUCAUCCUCUGUUGAUUCCAAAGACUUUGGUUGAGCAGUAAUAUGAGACAGGCCUGUACUUAAAAAGCUGAUAUGGUUAAAAUUUGAGGAGGUAAAUGAUGGUUCAAGAUAUGCACUGUGUAAUAGGAGAGCUGGAGGGAAAGCACAAGUUACACUCACAGUGGAAGCACAGUAUUCAGCACAGAGUGGAGUCAUAUUCCAGCAGGUAAUUCAAAAGCAUCUACCCUGCCUUGGACUGCUGCCCCAGCUCUUAUUGUGUCCAAAUGACAGGCAGACCAGGCCAUUUCUCCACCAGAGGUGACCGAGACCUGCCCAGCACAGAUGCAGGGUUGACCAGGUUAGCAAGAUGGGGAGCAGCACCAGGCUGGGUUGGAGACACACUGAUUCACAGUUUCCAGCAGGUAAUUUUUGUCAGUGCUGCUCCUCAGGCCCUUGUUAGAAGUGAAAACAGCUUUGCCCAUGGGCACAUUCUCUAAGGAGAGCAGCUGUUUUCAUAGAAACAGUUAAAUCUGUAUCAAGGAGACAUUUUAUCAGAGUUCUGGCCAGAACCAACCCCCUCCCCGUUCAUCUACUUUGCAGGUGUUUCAAGAGGGAAAGCUGAGAAAAGGAAAAAAAGCAAGCCUUAGCCAAAAGUAAGCAUGACUAACAAAUUACUCAUAAUUGAGGUUUGUUAAUUGCAUAGAACCCAAUUAAACCUUUCCACAUCUGAAAUGGAAUAACUUAUGCUCACAGCAGAGCUGUUUAGCUAUGAGACAUUUCUGGUGACACUUGUCUGUUGAUUUGCCGUUAGAUAACUUCUUGGCUUGAGGCGAGCGGGACUGAGCUAAGAGACUUUCUGUACAUGUGUUUGCAGCACAUUUUCACAAAGGGUUGCCAGAGUUGGGCCCACGAUGACUAGUCAGUGGAUUUAUUACAUUAUUAUUUUAGAUUGUUAUGUUGUUAUUAUGCAUGACUGACAUAGUGAAAUUCUUAUGUUGCAGAACUAUGUAGAGUUCAUAUAAACCAGUAAGCCAGAGAGGCAUUUUUCAUAAAAUUCCAACCUGAAGUGCAAAUUUUAUGUAACUGAAAAGUCAUAAUUUUAUGUAGCAUCUGCUAGAAUACCUCCUCAAAUAUGUUGCCUCAAAGUCGACUUUGAAAAAACCUUUCCUGUGAUUCCAAAAAAAUGCAGAUGACCAAAACCCCACCAUUUCCAAGUGUGUGUGCCUCUUCCCUUCUUAGUUCCAGCUGGGGCCACAAGUGGAAAUACCAAAAUACCACAGAAAUGUAGUUCUUGUGGUUCUUCCAGCCCCAGCAGAAGCAGGAAGUAUUAGAAAUCUUCCAAUAAAUAAUGUUUUCAUGAGGUUUCUAGCCCAUCCUUGCAAGCUCAAAAAGUUUGAUAAAUAAACCCAUCUCUGCUUGUCCACCUUGCCAUCAGAUUUACCUUUAUAUUCAAGGACUGUUCUGUCUGAGAUACAGCUGAUGUUCCUUCUAAGCUGUAAUAUAUGUUCAGUUUCACAUUAAAUUCAGCAAUAAAUUGGAUUAAGUCUUGUUAUGAAAGACAGGUUUAACUUUGGCCUUCCAUUUCUGAUAGAUGCAGGACAGUUUUUGUUUGUUUGUUUGUUUGCUUGUUUGUUUGUUUUCCAGGACAAAGGUAGCUACAAGGCUGAACAGUUUGAAUGCCCAUGGCAGAAGAGCUGCAGCCAGCAAUUUGGGCUCACAGCUGUGUGUGGACAGGUAAGAAACAGUGUCAUAAGAUGGAGAAUAAAAAAGUGCACACAGCCUGACCUGCACCUGAACUGGCAGAAGAGAGAGGACUUCCAGGAUGAACUGAUGAGUAAAUGAAGACCCAUAAGAAAAGCUGUCUCUCUGGUGCACCCUGACCUUCCUCUGUGACUGCAUUCAAGGAUGGCAAGAGACCACGUACCAUUACGUAACCAUUUGAGUGAAAAGAAUUUUCCUCAAAAGUACUUGGGACACUAAGCAGAUGGCAGCAACUUAAUCCAAUCCAAAGAAGGAAUAAAUGAAAUCACUUAGUCAGUUACAUUCACUGGGGAAACUCUCUGAUUCUCUCAGAUCUAAUGGAAAAAGAAAAUAAAACAUUACUGAAAGUGCCA